rnacentral:rRNA from 1 species
GAGUUUGAUUAUGGCUCAGGAUGAACGCUAGCGGCAGGCCUAACACAUGCAAGUCGAGGGGUAGGGUGCUUCGGCACUUGAGACCGGCGCACGGGUGCGUAACACGUGUACAAUCUACCUUUUGCUAAGGGAUAGCCCGAAGAAAUUUGGAUUAAUACCUUAUAGUAUUGUUUGGUGGCAUCACUAAAUAAUUAAAGCUCUGGUGGCAAAAGAUGAGUACGCGUUCCAUUAGCUAGUUGGUGUGGUAACGGCAUACCAAGGCUACGAUGGGUAGGGGUCCUGAGAGGGAGGUCCCCCACACUGGUACUGAGACACGGACCAGACCCCUACGGGAGGCAGCAGUGAGGAAUAUUGGACAAUGGUCGGAAGACUGAUCCAGCCAUGCCGCGUGCAGGAUGACGGCCUUAUGGGUUGUAAACUGCUUUUAUACAGGAAGAAUAAGGUCUACGUGUAGAUUGAUGACGGUACUGUAUGAAUAAGCAUCGCA